CAGCUCCUUCUGUUACAGCAACGUUUUCCGGUUUGCAACGAUCAUAAAUAGAGCCUCGUUUGAGCGGUAUCUUCUCUCUCCCGGGCGCUGGAGCCUUGGGUGCGCUGGGAACACACAAGCUUGAAUGCAAAGUGAGUUUACAAGUAUGUUACAAAUUAUCAGCUGAGAAUAACUUUGCGUGACUUGGCAGACGGCUUUACCUUGCUCACAUGUUGUUUGGGUCAAUAUAUUUCAGGGGUUUGCUCUUCCAAUUUGACUGUCUGUAUCUGACAAGGGCCCAGAUGUGAACCCAGCCUACAGAGGAAACCAGAGUACCCGGAGAAAACCCACUCAGGC